UUGGAGGUUGUGCCCUUGAGGCGUGGCUUCCGGAGCUAACGCGUUAAGUCGACCGCCUGGGGAGUACGGCCGCAAGGUUAAAACUCAAAUGAAUUGACGGGGGCCCGCACAAGCGGUGGAGCAUGUGGUUUAAUUCGAUGCAACGCGAAGAACCUUACCUGGUCUUGACAUCCACAGAACUUUUCAGAGAUGAAUUGGUGCCUUCGGGAACUGUGAGACAGGUGCUGCAUGGCUGUCGUCAGCUCGUGUUGUGAAAUGUUGGGUUAAGUCCCGCAACGAGCGCAACCCUUAUCCUUUGUUGCCAGCGGUCCGGCCGGGAACUCAAAGGAGACUGCCAGUGAUAAACUGGAGGAAGGUGGGGAUGACGUCAAGUCAUCAUGGCCCUUACGACCAGGGCUACACACGUGCUACAAUGGCGCAUACAAAGAGAAGCGACCUCG
rnacentral:rRNA from 1 species